CCCUCCAUCCAGCAUUCCUCCAUCCGACACUCACCCAGCACUCAUCUGCCUCUCAUCCAUUCCUCCAGCGUUCACUCAGUCAUUCAUUCCUCCAUCUGACACUCACCCAGCACUCAUCUGCCUCUCAUUCAUUCCUCCAGCGUUCACUCAGUCAUUCAUUCCUCCAUCCGACACCCACCCAGCACUCAUCUGCCUCUCAUUCAUUCCUCCAGCGUUCACUCAGUCAUUCAUUCCUCCAUCCGACACUCACCCAGCACUCAUCUGCCUCUCAUUCAUUCCUCCAGCGUUCACUCAGUCAUUCAUUCCUCCAUCCGACACCCACCCAGCACUCAUCUGCCUCUCAUUCAUUCCUCCAGCGUUCACUCAGUCAUUCAUCCCUCCAUCCAGCAUUCCUCCAUCCGACACUCACCCAGCACUCAUCUGCCUCUCAUCCAUUCCUCCAGCGUUCACUCAGUCAUUCAUUCCUCCAUCCGACACCCACCCAGCACUCAUCUGCCUCUCAUUCAUUCCUCCAGCGUUCACUCAGUCAUUCAUUCCUCCAUCCGACACUCACCCAGCACUCAUCUGCCUCUCAUUCAUUCCUCCAGCGUUCACUCAGUCAUUCAUUCCUCCAUCCGACACCCACCCAGCACUCAUCUGCCUCUCAUUCAUUCCUCCAGCGUUCACUCAGUCAUUCAUUCCUCCAUCCGACACUCACCCAGCACUCAUCUGCCUCUCAUUCAUUCCUCCAGCGUUCACUCAGUCAUUCAUUCCUUCUUCCAACAUGCACCCCCAGGAGGGCAGGAUUGCUCCCCGAAUGCCAAGUGCUGGGGCCGUGGCAGGAACUGUUCCAGGCAUGGGGAUGUUGGUGAACUUCACGGAAGACAGGGAAACGAGACGAUGUCAGAGCGGCCCGGGUUCCGGAAGAGGAUAAAAGGGGCUUGGGCCAUCCCCCGCCCUCCGAGGAGCCUGAUCUCACCCACCACGACUUCCCACCACGUGUCCCCUCGCUGCCCUGCCUCUCCCUCCUGCAGCCACCCAGCUCCCAGGCGCCUCAGGAUCCCCAGGAGCCCCAUCUCCCGACAAAGCCUUCUCCGUGGCUCCGCGGCAAUGGUAUGACAGGACCCCCCACCCGCCACCUGCACAGGAGUCAGAGAGUGACAAUCUGGGCCCCAGGGGGUCACCCAGCACUGCUGUCCUUCACGGCGGUGGGGUGUGAGGAGCAGAUGAGGUACUGACCUAGCUGUGCCUGCACCAGUGACAUGGGCGUCGCCGCCCUUACCCUCUGAGGUUCACUCUGACACGUGGUGUGUCCCAGGAGAGAGGUCAGAAGGACACCAGAGGGGCCAGCAAGAUGGGGUCGGGCCAAGAGCAGCUUCUCGGGGCGGGGAGGGGGGAUGCGGACGUGGAUGGAGGGCCCACUGUGCCGGGCUAAAGGGAGAAAGGUGGUUUCGUGGGGGCCCUGCUAGAGAGAGUGGGUCACAGACGGCGGGAGGUGGGGGUCACUUCACAGAUAGGCAGUGACACCAGCGCCGUCCGCCCACAAGCCUAACUAACGCAGGCUCCGGACCGCAGCCAGAGCGGCCUAAGCAGGGCUUCUCCCCAGCACACGGACAGCUGUCCCCUUACUCUGUCCUGGGCCUGCAGUGUGCUGGCCUCCGCUCUCUACGGGCCAGCAGCACCUGCCCCGCAGUGAUAACCCACAUGUCUCCAGACUUUGCAGAUCAAAAUCAUCCAGGUGAGGAGCCUGGUGCAGACCCAGCUGCGUCCCCAGAUAAUGAUUGUGUCCGCUCUGCCUGCCCCUGAGGGUCUGAGUCCCGGCCAGGCCACUGUCGUGGUUCUGGUGGUUCUUGACCCUGAGACAGUAUCAGGGACGAACACACCAGUGAAUGAACAAAUGAAAGAAUGAACAAAUGAAAGAAAGGAUGAACGAACCAACUAACACACGAACAAACGUCCGAGGGAGGCAGGGAGCGCUUUCCGGGCGGCAAGGCUGUGCCUGUGUGCUGUCCUUCACCACAGAGGCCCGUCCGAGCCCUGGAGCUGAAGUCACUUUGGAAAACCCCUUCAGAAACGUCUAGAAGAAGAGCAGGUGUGCAGUUUGAGGGCAGGAAAUAGCAAACAGGUGCCACAUGAGUGGCCGGCAGGCAGCCACCUGCAGGCCCUGCGACACAGGAUCCCUCUGCAGACGGGGCCGAGGUGGUGGUGGCUGGUCCCCCGUGACCAUGCACCUGCUGGGCCUCCGUGUCCCACGGACUCAGUGACUCUGCUCCUGGCCUCAGGUGGCCGUCUGUGUAGUGGGCAUGGACCCCCAGGCCUGCAGCUGGGGGUGAGUGGGGAGGGACAGGACAGAGGGCACAUGUGACUGCCCGGGGUCUCCCUGAGGCCCACAGUGAGCCCAGCUCCCACUGACACCCUGUAGAAUUACUAUUAUUGCCUUUGCUGUUGUUGUCAGGGCCAUUACUGAUUUCAGCAGCUUGGGGCUGGGGCGCUGGCAGUUGAGUGUGGGGAGAGGGAAGGAGCCAGGUGGGAGGCAGGAGGGGAGGGGGCUGGUGGCCGUGCUGGGACAGCGCUGCAGGCUGCUCGCCUCCAGCUGCCUGGAGAGGGCCCAGCCGUCAGGCCCAGGCCAGGGCCCCAGCUCUGACUUCCCUGCACUAGGGGGUCCCAGGGGAGCAGCGGAACCGCCCCACCGUGUUCAGGCCGGGACACAGACUGGCCAUCGGCCCCGCAUCGCCCUGGUGUGGAGGUCCUGGGUGGGCCCGGGCCCUGCCCUGUGAACUCACUGGUGGCUGUCACAUUAGGAAAGCCCCCAGCUCCUGCCACCGGCACCCUGGCUGCACUGGUCCCCGGUGCUUCCUGAGGCUCCCGUGCGUGUCUCCUCCUCGCGGCCACAUCCGGGGCCUCGCCAGACCUGAGCGGACUGCUCGCAGGGUUCACUUCCAUCCGGUUUCAGGCUGGUGCGUCUCAUGGGGUUAAAACCAUUUCCCCACAAGCAUUUGAACUUAUUAUUUUCUUAAGUCACGAGUGAAUCACAUCUGCCACAAGCACUUGGAUCAGCCCAGAGAGACUGACCACCCAGAAGUUUCUAUUCGCAAUCCCUAAACUUCAUGUGCAAAGAUAACCUUCACCAGGAAGAAAUCAGGACUCAGACGGACGUAAAGUGAAUUCGUGCAUAUGAACGUGUCAGCUCGUCUCCAGUGAGGGGACGGUCGGUGUCCCGGCCGGUUCACAAGAGCAGAGAAGAAAGCACAGAUGCACACGCGUGAAGGAAUAGGGACUCGGAUUCAAACACAGUGGGGGCUGGCUUCCCGGGGCGGGGGCGGGGGCUGACGGCCCCCGCGGGCAGGAUGAAUCUGCAGGUUCUAGUCCUUUCCUGGUGCUGCUGGAACCAAGUACACGGAUGGACAGAGCAGCUUAAAAUAAGAGACGGGAGCUCUCCCUGCCCUGAGACUGGGUGCCGGCUGGUGCCAUCGGAGGCACCGAGGGGGGCCUGCCUGCCUCUUCCCAGAGCCCCGUGCUGCCAGCCUCCAUCCCUCAAUCUCUGCCUCCACCUCCAUGGCUUUUCCUCUCUGUCGUGUGGCUCACAUCUCCUUUCCUCUCUCUUGUAAGAGCAUAAGUAACUGAACCUCAGGCCCACCCUAAAUCCAGAAUAAUUUCAUGCCGAGGUCCUUAAAUGAAUGACAUCUGCAAAGACUCUGAUUUCCAAAGGAGGUCACACCCGUGGGGAGGAGGGUGAGGGCGUGGACAUAUCCCCUUGGGGGCCACUCCUCAACCCGCUGUCUGUAAGCGAGAAACAGCCGUAUUGCUGUCAGUUACCAUAACGUGCAGAGCAACAAGUGCUCACAGGCAAUCAAGGCUAGGACCGGAAAGCCUAGGAGGCAGUGCAGGGAAGACACCCUGUCAUCUUUGAAUCCUUGCUGCUUACUCCGAAUUUCCGUGCACUGAGGUCUCAGAAAUCAUCUCCAGACUCUGCGUGACAGCCGGUCUUUUACCCUCACUGGCCUGAGAGCUGCAGGCACGGGGCGGGGGACCUGGUGCGCUGGGUAAUGACGGGGGUUCUGAGGUCUGUGGGACACCAAGGAGGUGUCCACAGCACCCACAGGCCUGAGUGUAGCGGCCAAGCGGAAUGAAGUUAACUAGAAAAGGACGUUUUGCCAGGAAAAGGCGGGAGCCUGCAAGCGGGCCACGUCAGAACAAAGUCUUGCAAGCAAGACUUAUUGUUUAGAGGCAGAACUUUCCUUGAGGUGAUAAAUAGUCCAUGAGGGCAUGGAAAGUUCAAGGGAGGGUGCACUGCUGCAGGUGGAAAUAAUCUUUGUAUAACAUCAGAAAUUAAUAGUUAAAUGUAUAACUUAGCUCAGAUGAUCUCAUAGGCAUGCCUGUUAAUCACUGUCACUUGCUGUACUCCACUGUUAUUUGCUGUACUCCCUGAAUAAAAGCCAGAGGGCUUCAGGGGGUCUUUGCUACUCGCCUGAGCGAGCGGUAGCCCUCUGCUUCUCCAUAUCCUGCA